rnacentral:snoRNA from 1 species
GUCAAUAAUUUUGCUGCUAAGGUUUCCACUACUGUUGAAAGGAAAAAAGGUCCUCAUGCUUUCUGUCUGUCUGGUUGUGGCAGCCAAGAUUGAAUGGGGGUAUGGAAAU